CCAAAAAAAUGAAGAGAAAAAUCAGGCCCAAUAGGGGACAUCCGGCCAUGGUCCAUAAAAAGGACCCAAGCCCAAGUGAAUUAUCCAUGUGAUAAUUAAAUAAAAGGGACCAUUUAAUUGUCUUGAAACAUAUAGAAGUUUCAAGACAAAUUGAGAAAGAGUGAACAAAAGAAACAAGAGCAAAAGAACUAAAGGCCAUACGGCCAUGGAGAAAAAAAUUGACCCUUUGAAAUUUUAUCCCAAAAAUUAUUUUCUUGUGGUAUUUCUACUAAUUCAAGGGUCCUUUACAACUUGGUGUAAUUAUUUUGGAAGAAAGAACACUUGUUUCUUCAAGUUGACAACUUGGUCAAGUGAAGAAGAUUGUAGAAAAAGAUUUUGGCGAACUUGAAACUUGAUUUUGGAGACGUGUAUGAAUCGGAAAAGGUCAGCAGACAGGUGGACUUGAUCCUUAGGAGCUCUACCAGCGGUACUCUACAGUGCUCCAGUUGUUCCGGAGCCUCACUUCCGCGGUACUAUUUUGUGUAUGUAUAUUCGGGCACGGCAGUACCCGGCCCUUUCUAUGUAUAAGUGUACUAUGUCUAGAGGCUCGUAGACAGAUACGUACAGUCAGUCAGGUACAGAUAUAUGUAUAGUGUUUUGGCAUGUUAAUAUUGUUGUACAAGGUAAUAACGGAGUUUAUUAGUUUAUGUUCAAGGAAAAAAAAUGUCUCGGUUUACACGGCUUGCUAAGAGGUACAGGUAAUACGAUAGAUAAGGGGUGCUCGGUACAAG